rnacentral:lncRNA from 1 species
CACAGAGUGCCUUGAUGAGCAGUAUGUAGGCCCGCACCCAGAAUCUGAAGCUGAGAACCUUGGGCCGUUGAAGCAGAGAGCACGAACUUAACUAGUCCAGAACUCUUCAGUCAUUAGACUGUGUUCCUGGCAACUAUUGUGUUGGUGAUUUGACAGAUUGGAAAAGUAAUUACCUCUUAUGGAAAAGUCAUCUAUUUCCUCUAUGGAAGAUGAUUAAUAUGUUUACCUUUUGUGCAUCCUUUUAAAUCCUUUGGCCAUACUUUCCAUUCCAACCACUGCUGCAGCAAUCAGUUCUUUGCAGGCUUCCAGCAUCUUCAUGCAGGUGAACGGAACAGCACCUCGCCACUGCAUCUCAGUGCCUCAGACCUAAACUGAGGAAAUGGAUCAAGAGAUUUCAGAUGAUUAUUCAGUUCAAGGCACAGAAUCAUAAUUGGUCUAGGCAAGAACAUUCUAUACAAUUUUAUCAUUAUUUCCUUUCAUGUUUUAUCACCGAGUCUAUACCCCUAGACUUCCUCAUAUAUAUAUCUUAUCCCUCUAUCUAAUGUAUGUGAUUUUACUUUUCCAUUCCAUAUAUGUAUGUAUGUAUUUCGUAAAAUAUGGGUAAGGCUGUUCCUUGUGUAUAUAUUUAAUCUCCAUAAUAGCGAUGUACUCUAAACUUCAUUCUCUCAAAAAAGUGUUCCUAAAAUAUUAGUUACUAUAUGUGGAUCUAGUUCAUUCCCUUUGAUUGCUUCAUUGCUUUCUAUUUAUGCAUAUAGUGCAUAUUAUUUAUUAAUAUCCUCUCAUUAUUUUCUUUCUCCUUGUGCAUCCAUGUGUUUUUCUGGUACAGAACCCAGAGUCUGGAUUGCUGUGUAAUAGGUUAUGUGCAUACUCUGUUUUACUGAGUACUAAGGUUAUACUCCAAAGUGUCUGCAUCCAU